rnacentral:rRNA from 1 species
GGGCCCGCACAAGCGGUGGAGCAUGUGGAUUAAUUCGAAGCAACGCGAAGAACCUUACCUAGCCUUGACAUCCUUGGAACCUGCCCCAAAAAGGCGGGGUGUCCUUCGGGAAAUCAAGUGACAGGUGCUGCAUGGCUGUCGUCAGCUCGUGUCGUGAGAUGUUGGGUUAAGUCCCGCAACGAGCGCAACCCUUGUCUUUAGUUGCCAUCAUUUAGUUGGGCACUCUAGAGAGACUGCCGGUGUCAAGCCGGAGAAGGUGGGACGACGUCAAGUCAUCAUGGCCCCUUACGGCUAGGGGCUUCACACGUGCUACAAUGGGCGGUACAAAGGGUCGGCGAAACCGCGAGGUGGAGCUAAAUCCCCAAAAAAGGCCGCUCUC